GGACUCAGCCCGCCCACACCCAGGUGAAUAAACAGCCACGUUGCUCACACAAAGCCUGUUUGGGGAGUGUGUUCAUUCAGCGCAUAUUUUAAUAUUUGGUGCCAAAACCUGGGACAGGGGUACUCCUUUGGGCAGACUCACCCCCUGUCCCCGCUUCCCCUGUGGGAAGAGACCCACCUAAGACCUCAACACAUCAGACCUGACCAGCAGCUCACGUUUAGCAUGCCAAAUAGCUCUGCCAUCUUCAUAUCGGGUAAGAAGUCUCUCUCUCCCUCUCUCCCUUUUCCUUUAGAGAAAAGGAGACAAGUCUCUCCCUCUUUCUCUCUCUCUUCCUUUAGAGAAAAGAAGACAACUCUCUCCCUCUUUCUCUCUCUUUUCCUUUAAAUUCUUCUCCUUCUAGUACAGACAAAGGAGAUACUCUUUAUCUGUGUAGAGACAGAGGAGACAAGUCUCUCCCUCUCAAAAACUUCAACAUUGGUCACAGCCUCGGGAAGACAGUCUUCCCUUGGUGUCUGGUCAAUCGUGGGGAUGCCUGCCUUGAUCACUCACCCACGUUACAGCCCAGGACUCAGUCAGGGACGCCUGCUGAAAACUCUGGUAGCUGUUUGCUCCUUCUCUUGGUCUCUACUCCUCUCCUUAAAAUUUACCUCCUUCUCCAGGGGCAAUAUUCACCCUCUAUUCCUCAGUCUUUGCCUCUAGCCCGCAUCCUAAAAAACCUAAAACCUUUUCAACUGUCACCGCAUCUGAAACCUAAACGUCUCAUUUUUUUUCCUGUAACACGGCCUGGCCUCAAUACAAGUUACACAAUGGUUUCAAUGGCUAGAAAACGGCACUUUCAAUUUUUCUAUUCUGCGAGACCUAAACAAUUUUUGUCAAUGAAUGGGCAAAUGGUCUAAGAUGCCUGAUGUCCAGGCAUUUUUUUUACACUCCAAUCCCUCCCUAAUCUCUGCUGUCAAUACCACCUGUCCCAAAUUUUCCUUCUCUCCCUUCCGUCUGCCCCUCCUGCCUCUGCCAGCAACCCAGAAUCCUCCUUGUCCAUCAACCCUUCUGACCUUUCUCCUCCCCACCCGUGCAAACCAGGCCCUAAUCCAGGCCCUAAACACCGCCCCCCAGAGCUUCCCUCCUCUUCCUCUGCCCACAACCCAUCUCCUUAUGCCCCUCCUGUCUCCUCCCACCUCAUACCCUGCGACUAACUCCUCCAUCCCGCCCAACAAGUCCCCCUUCGAGAGGUGGCUGGAGCCGAAGGCACAGUUAGGGUGUACGUUCCUUUCUCUUUAUCUGGCCAGUGGUUAGGCUCCUUCUCAUUAGAUCCUGCUAAAUAUAUACAAGAGUUCUGAUAUUUAACCCAGUCCUACAAUCUCACCUGGAGUGACUUAAUGUCAUCCUUACUUCUACUCUCAUCUCUGAAGACUGUUUAUCACCCAAUCAACCCCUGACAUUAAACAACUACAGAAAUUAGAAUCUGGUCCUCAAACCUCACAGCAGGAAUUAAUCCACCUCAUCUUCAAGUGUUCAACAAUAGGGAAGAAGCUGCUCAGUGGCAGCGCAUCUCAGAACUAUAGAUGCUUCCCUCUGCCGUAAGACAAACCCCAGUCAUACCACCAGCUCACAAAGACUUCAAAGCGCCCAGACUGCAGCAUCCAGUCGCCUCUCCCAGAUCUUGCUUCAAGGGUCAAAAACCUGGCCACUGGGCCAAGGAACGCCCACAGCCUGGGAUUCCUCCUAAGCCCUGCCCCGUCUGUGCAGGGACCUCACUGGAAGUCGGACUGUCCAACUCAUGUCACUGUGGCUUGGCAACUAAAAACUAACAUUGCCUUAACCAGGGAGCUCCCUGGACUAUUACAGACGCCUAACAGCAGUGAUAUAGUUUUUACUUCUGCAUCCCUAACUUAAAGUUUAGGAUCAGUCUCAUAGGAACUUCUCACACAUGUUCUUCCUCCAGAGUCCAAUAUGAUGUCUAAAGCAGCUCUGUCCUGAACCACCGCUUGUCCAAUUUCAUCAUCCUCUUGGAUGAGGAGUUCCCUGGCUCAGAGGAGAAAAAAAAACAAAACUGUUUCUCUACUCUCAGAUGAGAAAACUGAAACAGAAAGGUCACCUCAGCUGGUGCAAAGUCAUAAAUGGCAAAACUGGAACAUAGAGAAGGGCUGUGUGGCCCCAAGUUCCACUUGUAAGCAUUGCUGCACAGCCCUGGACUUGCAUUUCUGUUCUUGAAUCUGAGGAAUGCAUCACCUAUAAGAUCUGCAUGCACCUUGAGACAUCUGCAUCACCUGCAAAUUUAGGUCCGUCCCAUCCCCACCUUGCCCCAGCCCACUCCUCUGUCUUACAUUUCAGUCCUCUGAGAGCUGGAGAGCUGGCCCAAGCCCCAAUCCAAGACACUCUGCUUGAUUCAAGCCAACUUCCCACCAAGAACUCAGCCUGCUGCUCCCCCAAGUCCUUCUUCCCCAAUAUUAAGGCAGUACAGGGCAGUUAAGAAAAGCUUACAGUUAGAUUCACUGCUCUGAGGCUCAGUUUCCUUAUCUACAAAGUCAAAGUAAUAUUCUUUCCCUUUAAGGUUGAAUGAAAUAAACUAUGUAAAGAACUCACUACAGGGAUUCUCUCCUGGGAGCUCCCAUCUGCCAUGAAUCUCUCAAAAUUGUAGUUUGCCAAAAAUAUUAGACCACCCUCCCUGCAUAGCAUUAAAGAUGCUUCACUCAACUUGUA